rnacentral:rRNA from 1 species
CCCUAUGCUGCCGAGAAAAGCCUCUAGCGAGCUGUACAGCCGCCCGUACCCCAAACCGACACAGGUGGUCAGGUAGAGAAUACCAAGGCGAUCGAGAGAACUGUGGUUAAGGAACUCGGCAAAAUACCCCCGUAACUUCGGGAGAAGGGGGGCCGAUUAGCGUGAUGGGACUUGCUCCCUGAGCGCCGGUUGGCCGCAGAGACCAGGCCCAAGCGACUGUUUACUAAAAACAUAGGUCCAUGCCAAGUCGCAAGACGAUGUAUAUGGACUGACGCCUGCCCGGUGCUGGAACGUUAAGGGGACGGGUUAGCGACUUCGGUCGCGAAGCUCAGAACUUAAGCGCCAGUAAACGGCGGUGGUAACUAUAACCAUCCUAAGGUAGCGAAAUUCCUUGUCGGGUAAGUUCCGACCUGCACGAAUGGCGUAACGACUUGGGCGCUGUCUCAACCACAGACUCGGCGAAAUUGCACUACGAGUAAAGAUGCUCGUUACGCGCGGCAGGACGGAAAGACCCCGGGACCUUUACUACAGCUUGGUAUUGGUGGUCGGUUCGAUUUGUGUAGGAUAGGUGGGAGACUGUGAAGCAUGGACGCCAGUUCAUGUGGAGUCAACGUUGAAAUACCACUCUGAUCGUGCUGGCUGUCUAACUUAGGUCCGUGAUCCGGAUCAAGGACAGUGCCUGGUGGGUAGUUUAACUGGGGCGGUUGCCUCCUAAAAUGUAACGGAGGCGCUCAAAGGUUCCCUCAAUCUGGUUGGCAAUCAGAUAUCGAGUGUGAAUGCACAAGGGAGCUUGACUGCGAGAGUGACGGCUCGAGCAGGGACGAAAGUCGGAAUUAGUGACCCGGCGCUGGCAAGUGGAAGCGGCGUCGCUCAACGGAUAAAAGGUACCCCGGGGAUAACAGGCUGAUCUUCCCCAAGAGUCCAUAUCGACGGGAUGGUUUGGCACCUCGAUGUCGGCUCGUCGCAUCCUGGGGCUGGAGUCGGUCCCAAGGGUUGGGCUGUUCGCCCAUUAAAGCGGCACGCGAGCUGGGUUUAGAACGUCGUGAGACAGUUCGGUCCCUAUCCGCCGCGCGCGUAGGAGUCUUGAGAAGGGCUGUCCCUACUACGAGAGGACCGGGAUGGACGAACCUCUGGUAUGCCAGUUGUUCCGCCAGGAGCAUGGCUGGUUAGCUACGUUCGGAAGUGAUAACCGCUGAAAGCAUCUAAGCGGGAAGCACGCUUCAAGAUGAGGGCUCCCACAGGGUUAACCUGGUAAGGCCCCCAGCUAGAUGACUGGGUUGAUAGGCCGGAGGUGGAAGCACAGCGAUGUGUGGAGCUGACCGGUACUAAUAGGCCGAGGACUUGACCC